rnacentral:snoRNA from 1 species
UUUCCCAUCUGACUACCACGUUUUCCUCUAUUCCUAGAUCUUAGUGGCAUAGCCCUGGUCUGAAAAGGGAGGAUUUUUUUGUGUCCUCCUAUAUGAAAUGACUUAACAGAAAAAA